AUGGCGACCGGCGCACGGGUGAGUAACACGUAUCCAACCUGCCGAUGACUCGGGGAUAGCCUUUCGAAAGAAAGAUUAAUACCCGAUGGCAUAGUUCUUCCGCAUGGUAGAACUAUUAAAGAAUUUCGGUCAUCGAUGGGGAUGCGUUCCAUUAGCUUGUUGGCGGGGUAACGGCCCACCAAGGCAUCGAUGGAUAGGGGUUCUGAGAGGAAGGCCCCCCACAUUGGAACUGAGACACGGUCCAAACUCCUACGGGAGGCAGCAG
rnacentral:rRNA from 1 species